rnacentral:rRNA from 1 species
UACAGAGGAGCCAAGCGUUGUCCGGAUUGACUGGGCGUAAAGCGCACGCAGGCGGUCGCGCGCGUGGGGUGUGAAAUCUGGCCGCUUAACGGCCAGGCGCCAUCCCAUACGGCGUGACUGGAGGGCUGCAGAGGUCGAUGGAAUUGCCGGUGUAGUGGUGAAAUGCGUAGAUAUCGUAAGGAAGACCAGUGGCGAAGGCGGGUCUCUGGACAGUUCCUGACGCUGAGGCACGAAGGUCAGGGGAGCAAACGGG